rnacentral:lncRNA from 10 species
GGCAUCAGAAAUCCCUGGAAUUUCCUGGAUUUUGAGUGCAUGCAAGAUAUGAAUUGAGAAGUUGACACAAGUAUCAGUUUAAUGAAAUCAUUAUCUUGUGUCCCACGGAGAGUUGGAUUUACAACUUGAUACCGCCACAUAACUGUAUGCUAUUGAAAAUGGCACUUAAUAUGGAUCUCAUAUAAUGGCUGGGGCUUCAGAAGCCAUCUUGUGCCAUGUGGAAGACAGCUGGCAGAGCAAAGAACAGAAAGGAGUUAGACUUUGGAUAAUUAAUGCAGCUGCAAAGCUAGCCUGGAUUACAAGCCUCUGAAUGUCUUUUGCAUGAGAGAGAAAUUAGCUUCCUUCUUGCUUAAGCCAUCAUUGUUUUCUGUUUUCUUUUUUUUUAAAAUCACAUUAAACCUAAUCCUUAA